rnacentral:rRNA from 1 species
GGGUUGUGAGGUUAAGCGACUAAGCGUACACGGUGGAUGCCCUGGCAGUCAGAGGCGAUGAAGGGCGUGCUAAUCUGCGAUAAGCGCCGGUAAGGUGAUAUGAACCGUUAUAACCGGCGAUACCCGAAUGGGGAAACCCAGUGUGAUUCGUCACACUAUCAUUAACUGAAUCCAUAGGUUAAUGAGGCGAACCGGGGGAACUGAAACAUCUAAGUACCCCGAGGAAAAGAAAUCAACCGAGAUUCCCCCAGUAGCGGCGAGCGAACGGGGAGGAGCCCAGAGCCUGAAUCAGCAUGUGUGUUAGUGGAAGCGUCUGGAAAGGCGCGCGAUACAGGGUGACAGCCCCGUACACAAAAGCGCAUGUGUUGUGAGCUCGAUGAGUAGGGCGGGACACGUGGUAUCCUGUCUGAAUAUGGGGGGACCAUCCUCCAAGGCUAAAUACUCCUGACUGACCGAUAGUGAACCAGUACCGUGAGGGAAAGGCGAAAAGAACCCCGGCGAGGGGAGUGAAAAAGAACCUGAAACCGUGUACGUACAAGCAGUGGGAGCACAGGUUUACCUGUGUGACUGCGUACCUUUUGUAUAAUGGGUCAGCGACUUAUAUUCUGUAGCAAGGUUAACCGUAUAGGGGAGCCGGAGGGAAACCGAGUCUUAAUUGGGCGUUAAGUUGCAGGGUAUAGACCCGAAACCCGGUGAUCUAGCCAUGGGCAGGUUGAAGGUUGGGUAACACUAACUGGAGGACCGAACCGACUAAUGUUGAAAAAUUAGCGGAUGACCUGUGGCUGGGGGUGAAAGGCCAAUCAAACCGGGAGAUAGCUGGUUCUCCCCGAAAGCUAUUUAGGUAGCGCCUCGUGAACUCAUCUCCGGGGGUAGAGCACUGUUUCGGCUAGGGGGCCAUCCCGGCUUACCAACCCGAUGCAAACUGCGAAUACCGGAGAAUGUUAUCACGGGAGACACACGGCGGGUGCUAACGUCCGUCGUGAAGAGGGAAACAACCCAGACCGCCAGCUAAGGUCCCAAAGUCAUGGUUAAGUGGGAAACGAUGUGGGAAGGCCCAGACAGCCAGGAUGUUGGCUUAGAAGCAGCCAUCAUUUAAAGAAAGCGUAAUAGCUCACUGGUCGAGUCGGCCUGCGCGGAAGAUGUAACGGGGCUAAACCAUGCACCGAAGCUGCGGCAGCGAACGUAUCACCCAAGACAACUUUGCGGAGUUGACGAUUGACGGAGCGAAGCGACGUCAAAGCGUUCAUUAAAGUCGAGUUGGCUUAGGGAUACGUUCGUUGGGUAGGGGAGCGUUCUGUAAGCCAGUGAAGGUGUGUCGUGAGGCAUGCUGGAGGUAUCAGAAGUGCGAAUGCUGACAUAAGUAACGAUAAAGCGGGUGAAAAGCCCGCUCGCCGGAAGACCAAGGGUUCCUGUCCAACGUUAAUCGGGGCAGGGUGAGUCGACCCCUAAGGCGAGGCCGAAAGGCGUAGUCGAUGGGAAACGGGUUAAUAUUCCCGUACUUGGUGUUACUGCGAAGGGGGGACGGAGAAGGCUAUGUUGGCCGGGCGACGGUUGUCCCGGUUUAAGCGUGUAGGUGUGUGUUCCAGGUAAAUCCGGUU